rnacentral:rRNA from 1 species
GAUGAACGCUGGCGGCGUGCCUAAUACAUGCAAGUCGAGCGAACGGACGAGAAGCUUGCUUCUCUGAUGUUAGCGGCGGACGGGUGAGUAACACGUGGAUAACCUACCUAUAAGACUGGGAUAACUUCGGGAAACCGGAGCUAAUACCGGAUAAUAUUUUGAACCGCAUGGUUCAAAAGUGAAAGACGGUCUUGCUGUCACUUAUAGAUGGAUCCGCGCUGCAUUAGCUAGUUGGUAAGGUAACGGCUUACCAAGGCAACGAUGCAUAGCCGACCUGAGAGGGGGAACGGCCACCCUGGAACUGAGACACGGUCCAGACACCGACGGGAGGCAGCAGUAGGGAAUCUUCCGAAAUGGGCGAAAGCCUGACGGAGCAACGCCGCGUGAGUGAUGAAGGUCUUCGGAUCGUAAAACUCUGUUAUUAGGGAAGAACAUAUGUGUAAGUAACUGUGCACAUCUUGACGGUACCUAAUCAGAAAGCCACGGCUAACUACGU